UACGGGGGGUGCAAACGUUGCUCGGAAUUAUUGGGCGUAAAGCGCACGUAGGCGGUCUGGUAAGUCGGGUGUGAAAGCCCGGGGCUUAACCCCGGAAGUGCACUCGAAACUGCCAGGCUUGAGUAUGGAAGAGGGUCUCGGAAUUCCCGGUGUAGAGGUGAAAUUCGUAGAUAUCGGGAGGAACACCAGUGGCGAAGGCGGAGACCUGGGCCAAUACUGACGCUGAGGUGCGAAAGCGUGGGGAGCAAACAGG
rnacentral:rRNA from 1 species